rnacentral:rRNA from 1 species
AUUGAACGCUGGCGGCAUGCCUUACACAUGCAAGUCGAACGGCAGCACGGGAGCAAUCCUGGUGGCGAGUGGCGAACGGGUGAGUAAAGUAUCGGAACGUGCCCAGUCGUGGGGGAUAACGUAGCGAAAGUUACGCUAAUACCGCAUACGAUCUAUGGAUGAAAGCGGGGGAUCGCAAGACCUCGCGCGAUUGGAGCGGCUGAUAUCAGAUUAGGUAGUUGGUGGGGGAAAGGCUCACCAAGCCGACGAUCUGUAGCUGGUCUGAGAGGACGACCAGCCACAAUGGGACUGAGACACGGCCCAGACUCCUACGGGAGGCAGCAGUGGGGAAUUUUGGACAAUGGGCGAAAGCCUGAUCCAGCCAUGCCGCGUGCAGGAUGAAGGCCUUCGGGUUGUAAACUGCUUUUGUACGGAACGAAAAGGUUUGGGCUAAUAAGCUGAGCUCAUGACGGUACCGUAAGAAUAAGCACCGGCUAACUACGUGCCAGCAGCCGCAGUAA